rnacentral:snoRNA from 1 species
UGAUAGUGAUAAGAAUAAUUUUUGAGCAUACCUUUAAAUCUCUCCCAAGCUAGGUAGAGAUUUUCUCCAUCUUUCUAUCUGAAACUCAAGAUCUCACUCUUCAAUCA